AAAAGAAAAGAAAAAAAAAAAAGAAACGUUAUUCUACUAUUGCCGUAAGGUUAUUGAGGUUGUUUGGUACAAAACAGGGUAGGAUAGAGUGGAAUCAUUCUCCAAAGAAUUAUUUUUAUUAAUCUCGAUUCCCUCAAUUGGACAUGGGAGGGGGUGAGCAGAUGCUUGUUUCCUCUUAUCUCGUUUUCUUGCGCCUUGCUAGGGUGAUGAGUUCAUUUGGGGCUGGUGUCUCCUUGGCUUGAUGUUCUCCUCAUUGGGUACUGGCUUACCUCUGCCCUGCUGCAGACAAAGCCAUCUUGCUCAGGACAGGUAGACAUUUGGACCCUGGUCAACUAAAUGCCCUCACCAGAAAGGGAUACUGCCUAUAUUGUUAAUUGCAGCUUCAAACCUUAGGUUUUUCCUCUCUUUAAGGUACAGAUAUUGAGUGCCAGAUUUCUGCCCCCCCCCCCCCCGUCCCCCAAACCCCCUGCUUGAUUUUGCCAGAUUUCAGCGAUUUGGGGCUAGAAUGUAGGAAGCUGGGGGUAGGUUUCAGAGAAAGAGGGGAUGACAAGUCACCAUGUCCCAGACCUUAGACAAAUGAAAGAGAGUUGCGCAUCACCAAGAAAAUUAGGAUUCCUUUUGCUUUGUGAAUUAAAGAAAUGAAUAAUUUAAUCCUCAAGAUUGUUCCGGUGAGGGAAAGGCAACGUCCCAGUUGCGGAGCCCUACAGCCUGUCGGUGUGUUACAUCAUCUGCACACAUAGGCGUUUCCAUGACAACCGCUUAUAGCUUCAUUUCCUGGAUCCCUCUAGGGGGUGUCACAGCCAGAUCCACCUGCUUUUCACCCUACCCUCGGUGGGGUCAUGGAAGGAAGAAUGAAAGGAACAGCACGGCAUCAUUUACCAUUUGAAAAUGGCCUGAUCUUGGAGCACCAAAAAGCAAAGAGAGACAGGAACGGGAAAGAUUCAACGUAGAGACCCACUCGGUCAGAAUGUUCCACCAGGCUCUGCUUUUUAGGAAUCGGCCAACACCUUUGCUAGGUGUUUAGAGAUGCUCUGUUUGUGGAAAGUACAGUGAAAAAUAACAAUUUGAAUGUUUCGAUUAUCUUUCCCAGUCCGUUCCAUUUUCAUUAUUUAUUUCCUAUAAAUCGGGACCUUGCUGAACAUAAUUCUGCAGACAAGGAGGUGGAUGGGACAGCCAAUGUGAACGAGGAGAUAGAUGGUGGGUGCGUGUAAGAUGGAUGCUAUGCGUUUAUGAAAAGGAGCAGUAUGUCUGCAUGUGAACAUCCACAGAGUAGAGCAAGCAAGCGUGUAAACUAUAAUGGGUAUUUAUAGGUGAAAAAAAAAAAGGUGCAAGGAAUAUUGGAUGGGAACAAGCACACUGAGCCUGAAAAGGGUUUGCUUUUUUCCUACCCUCUUGGAAUCCACGUCCAAGUUCUGCUAAGGUGUCCCAUGGUUGCUGCGGCUCCUGUGAAAACUCAAGCCUUUUCAUGACAACAGAUGGGGGAUUUCACAGCCAGAAGACUCAGGAGGUCAACAGUUGAAAAGCAAGAGUUAGAAAGCGAGAUCUUUAUCGACAUCAAAAACAAUCCCACCAAGAAAACCCAGAACGAUAGAAGGAGGAAAAUAUUUAAAGACACAGUAGGAAAAAAAAA